GUGUGUGUGUGUGUGUGUGUAUUUAGCAGAUUGUGUACUCAGCAGUCUGUGUGUAUUCAGCAGUCUGCUAAAUACACAUACAGACAG